GAAUGAAGCAGACUAUUGUAAGGAUGUCUCUGAAAUCUAACUCAGGAGGUGACCUCAAUGACCCAGUGGUAAAGGAACAGAUGUUGGAGCAGAUCAGAAAGGAGUUUGUUAAGGACGGGAACUUCAUCCAAGGCCUACGCUGGAGAGAACUGCCUAACGGAGAUGUUUUUCACAAAACAGUUGAACUUGGAAGCCCUGAUGAAGGUCAGUGUGGGUCAGGAUGAAGAGGACCAGCCAUGAUGAUGCAGCAGGAGAGGCAUGGAAGGUCCAAGGAAAUCACAUGAUAUAUUAUAUACCUUAUA